AGAGUUUGAUCCUGGCUCAGGACGAACGCUGGCGGCGUGCCUAAUACAUGCAAGUCGAACGCUUCUUUCCUCCCGAGUGCUUGCACUCGAUUGGAAAGAGGAGUGGCGGACGGGUGAGUAACACGUGGGUAACCUACCCAUCAGAGGGGGAUAACACUUGGAAACAGGUGCUAAUACCGCAUAACAGUUUAUGCCGCAUGGCAUAAGAGUGAAAGGCGCUUUCGGGUGUCGCUGAUGGAUGGACCCGCGGUGCAUUAGCUAGUUGGUGAGGUAACGGCUCACCAAGGCCACGAUGCAUAGCCGACCUGAGAGGGUGAUCGGCCACACUGGGACUGAGACACGGCCCAGACUCCUACGGGAGGCAGCAGUAGGGAAUCUUCGGCAAUGGACGAAAGUCUGACCGAGCAACGCCGCGUGAGUGAAGAAGGUUUUCGGAUCGUAAAACUCUGUUGUUAGAGAAGAACAAGGACGUUAGUAACUGAACGUCCCCUGACGGUAUCUAACCAGAAAGCCACGGCUAACUACGUGCCAGCAGCCGCGGUAAUACGUAGGUGGCAAGCGUUGUCCGGAUUUAUUGGGCGUAAAGCGAGCGCAGGCGGUUUCUUAAGUCUGAUGUGAAAGCCCCCGGCUCAACCGGGGAGGGUCAUUGGAAACUGGGAGACUUGAGUGCAGAAGAGGAGAGUGGAAUUCCAUGUGUAGCGGUGAAAUGCGUAGAUAUAUGGAGGAACACCAGUGGCGAAAGCGGCUCUCUGGUCUGUAACUGACGC
rnacentral:rRNA from 1 species